rnacentral:rRNA from 1 species
ACGGCGAGUGACAGGGAUAAGCCCAGCACCGAAGCCUGUGGCCGUUUGGCUACUAGGCAAUGUGGUGUUCAGGUCGUUCCGCGGAGGUGCUGCUCCACCCCAAGUCCAUCAAUGAGUACGGUAGUAUGGACAUGGCCCAUAGAGGGUGAAAGGCCCGUGGGGGUGGAGAUUCGGUAGGACAGCACUUCUCUGGGUAGACCUUGGAGUCGGGUUGUUUGUGAAUGCAGCCCAAAGUGGGUGGUAAACUCCAUCCAAGGCUAAAUACUUGCACGAGUCCGAUAGCGAACAAGUACCGUGAGGGAAAGUUGAAAAGUACUUUGAAGAGAGAGUAAACAGUGCGUGAAUCCGCUCAGAGGUAAACGGGUGGAGUUGAACUGCAAGCUCUGUGAAUUCAGUUGAUGAGUGUGGUUUGAGCUUGGUCAAAUUGGUGGACAUUGGGGUCUGUGUACUAGCAGGUCUUUGCCUUCGGGUGGAGAUGCGCGAUGCACUUAUCAAGUGUUGUGCGCCUCGAUUGUUUCCCGGCCAACUCGUCAGUGCACUUUCGCAGAGUGGUCACCACGACCGGCGCGCUGUCUGGCCGCUAUGGUUAAACCGGCUUUGUAUAGUCCCAGUGACUUUACUUGGUCGGGAUGGCAGGUAGCUCGUUGGCUUGCUUGUGGCUUGCUGCAGGCGUGGCUUUCGAGUGUAAUCAGCUGACCGUAAUGGUUCUGUGCAGGUGUCGGAGGCGGCGGCUUGAGGUGUGUGCAUGCGUUUCUAUUUGCUGACUUGUCCGAGUUUGGUUAUUUUGUUGCCUGUUAACCCAGGUCGUUUAAUAGCUCGGAUUCGUUCGGUGGAUGGUUGCGUGUGUGGCAUUGUUCCAAGGGCCAAUAGUCUGUGGUGUA